ACGGNUCAGUAACACGUGGAUAACCUGCCCUUGGGUCCGGCAUAACUCCGGGAAACUGGAGAUAAUUCCGGAUAACGCACAUAUGCUGGAAUGCUUUAUGCGUAAAAUGGAUUCGUCUGCCCAAGGAUGGGUCUGCGGCCUAUCAGGUAGUAGUGGGUGUAAUGUACCUACUAGCCUACGACGGGUACGGGUUGUGAGAGCAAGAGCCCGGAGAUGGAUUCUGAGACAUGAAUCCAGGCCCUACGGGGCGCAGCAGGCGCGAAAACUUUACAAUGCGGGAAACCGUGAUAAGGGGACACCGAGUGCCAGCAUCAUAUGCUGGCUGUCCAGGUGUGUAAAAUACACCUGUUAGCAAGGGCCGGGCAAGACCGGUGCCAGCCGCCGCGGUAACACCGGCGGCCCGAGUGGUGAUCGUGAUUAUUGGGUCUAAAGGGUCCGUAGCCGGUUUGGUCAGUCCUCCGGGAAAUCUGAUAGCUCAACUAUUAGGCUUUCGGAGGAUACUGCCAGACUUGGAACCGGGAGAGGUAAGAGGUACUACAGGGGUAGGAGUGAAAUCUUGUAAUCCCUGUGGGACCACCUGUGGCGAAGGCGUCUUACCAGAACGGGUUCGACGGUGAGGGACGAAAGCUGGGGGCACGAACCGGAUUAGAUACCCGGGUAGUCCCAGCCGUAAACGAUGCUCGCUAGGUGUCAGGCAUGGCGCGACCGUGUCUGGUGCCGCAGGGAAGCCGUGAAGCGAGCCACCUGGGAAGUACGGCCGCAAGGCUGAAACUUAAAGGAAUUGGCGGGGGAGCAC
rnacentral:rRNA from 1 species